rnacentral:rRNA from 1 species
CCUACGGGGGGCUGCAGUGGGGAAUAUUGCACAAUGGGCGCAAGCCUGAUGCAGCGACGCCGCGUGAGCGAUGAAGGCCUUCGGGUCGUAAAGCUCUGUCCUAAGGGAAGAAUAAUUACGGUACCUUAGGAGGAAGCCCCGACGAACUACGUGCCAGCAGCCGCGGUAAUACGUAGGGGGCGAGCGUUAUCCAGAAUCACUGGGCGUAAAGGGUGCGUAGGCGGUUCUGCAAGGCAGGAGAUAAAGCGCUCGGCUCAACCGAGGUCAGGACUUGAAUCUGUAGGGCUUGAGUGCAGGAGAGGAGGGAGUAAUUCCUGGUGUAGGUGUGGAAUGCGUAGAUAUUAGGAGGAGGACCAGUGGCGAAGGCGACUUAGUGGACUUCAACUGACGGUGAGGCACGAAAGCGUAGGGAACGAACAGGAUUAGAUACACUAGUAGUU